AUCUUAGUAGUUUAUACUUUAAAACCUUAAUUUGUGGAAUUAAAAAAAAUCUAAGAUU
rnacentral:tRNA from 1 species